rnacentral:rRNA from 1 species
GACGAACGCUGGCGGCGUGCUUAACACAUGCAAGUCGAACGGAAAGGCCCUGCUUUUGUGGGGUGCUCGAGUGGCGAACGUGUGAGUAACACGUGAGUAACCUGCCCUUUACUUUGGGAUAACUUCAGGAAACUGGGGCUAAUACCGGAUAGGAGCUCCUGCUGCAUGGUGGGGGUUGGAAAGUUUCGGCGGUUGGGGAUGGACUCGCGGCUUAUCAGCUUGUUGGUGGGGUAGUGGCUUACCAAGGCUUUGACGGGUAGCCGGCCUGAGAGGGUGACCGGCAACAUGGGGACUGAGAUACGGCCCAGACUCCUACGGGAGGCAGCAGUGGGGAAUAUUGCACAAUGGGCGGAAGCCUGAUGCAGCAACGCCGCGUGCGGGAUGACGGCCUUCGGGUUGUAAACCGCUUUCGCCUGUGACGAAGCGUGAGUGACGGUAAUGGGUAAAGAAGCACCGGCUAACUACGUG